rnacentral:tRNA from 1 species
GUCCCUGUAGUUCAGUUGGUAGAGCAUGGUGUUUGCAACACCAGGGUUGUGGGUUCGAUUCCCACGGGGGGCC